AGAACGAACGCUGGCGGCAUGCCUAAUACAUGCAAGUCGAACGAACACUUCGGUGUUAGUGGCGCACGGGUGCGUAACGCGUGGGAAUCUGCCCUUGGGUUCGGAAUAGCAGUUGGAAACGACUGCUAAUACCGGAUGAAUAUCGAAAGAUCAAAGAUUUAUCGCCAGGAUGAGCCCGCGUAGGAUUAGCUAGUUGGUGAAGGUAAGGCUCACCAAGGCGACGAUCCUUAGCGUGGUCUGAGAGGAUGAUCAGCCACACUGGGAC
rnacentral:rRNA from 1 species